GUGGGAUGAGCAAUGGCAGUGGCAGGGAGAAGAAAGGCGAUGCUGGGUAAAGAAUGCGAAGAGGAUAAUUUAUAUAAUUAAUCACAGCGCUCUGAUCAAUAGAGCGUCAGAGGCCAUUUUCGAUACUGAGUAGAAUGACUUCUCAGAUGUAAUGGACUGCUUGGAAAUCUAUCCUUCUGACUUAGUCCAUAAAGAAGCAGCCAGAACCACGGAGCUGGGGCAGGAGAGGGUGUCAGAGGUGAGUCAAAAAUAAAGUUAAGUUUCAAGCAACCGCACCACCUUACAACACAGAUCCAGGAGAGGCCCAGGACGAUCUACCCCUAGUUUAUCAUGAUGAUGUAGAGACCUGGUUGUGUGCACAGAUUUCCCUUGCUCCGCAGGAGUGUUCCCCCUGGUGUGCCUUCCCUAGGACCCCAGUCUCCCUAUAGCACCUUUCCCUCUUAUAUUCCUCCCUAGCACCCCAAUCUCCCUGUUUCCAACAUCGGACCUGCCAAGCCAUUCCAUGGGGACUUCAGAUACAAUGCCAUGGGAAAAUUCUCAACACUGCUGCCGUUUCUAAAGUUGCGAGGGAGCUCAGUUACACGUGU
rnacentral:lncRNA from 1 species